AACGUAGGAGACAAACGUUAUCCGGAGUUACUGGGCGUAAAGGGCGUGCAGGCGGUGGCCUAAGUCUGGCGUGAAAGCUCCCGGCUAAACCGGGAGAGGUCGUUGGAUACUGGGUGACUAGAGGACGGUAGAGGCGUGUGGAAUUCCGGGUGUAGUGGUGAAAUGCGUAGAGAUCCGGAGGAACACCAGUGGCGAAGGCGACACGCUGGGCCGUACCUGACGCUAAGACGCGACAGCAUGGGGAGCGAACGGG
rnacentral:rRNA from 1 species